GGACUUGCCAAGUGAUCUUAGUGUCUUUGCAACUGAGCACACUCUACCAGCAACACUGACAGCUCACCAGUGGGAGCUGAUAGAUAAGACUGCUCUCAUCCAUUGAAGAGCUGACCAGAAACGUGAACAGAAAGACUGCAACUGCACCUGAUGGGAUCCCUGCCAUAACAGAUGUGUUCUGUCCAGUGAAGGCAGUGGAGAAGCCCUACACUGAUCUUGAAACUGUGCCACGCUACUAGAAACCGGCUACAAGGAUGGGCAGCUGUUUUCGCAAAGUCAGCCAACCACUUGCUUCCAAAUGACCCUUAUCCAGAAGUAUCCGUGAGUGCCUCAUCAACAGAAACUAAAGUGGAGACCUACCUCUCAAA